rnacentral:tRNA from 2 species
GGCUGGAUGGCCGAGCGGUCUAAGGCGCUAGACUCAAGAACUCAAGCUUCUUCUGCACAAAUGUGCGGUGCAUUCUAGUAUCGAAAGAUGCGUGGGUUCGAAUCCCACUCCAGUCA